rnacentral:lncRNA from 1 species
CACCACCACCACUUCCAUUUCCAUAUACCACCACCCCCACCAUCUUCCCCAGCCUUCCUCCCCUUUCUGCUGCAUUCCCUGCUCCACAAGGAAAAGGAUUGCUAGCCUAGGAGCCAUGGUGAGGAAGGAGACGAGCACGAGCAUGAGGCUCCCGCCUCAGCACCAGGGGCUGGAGGUCAAGAUCCCGAGCUUCUUCCGGUGCCCGAUCUCGCUGGACGUCAUGCGGUCGCCGGUGAGCCUCUGCACGGGCGUCACGUACGACCGCGCCUCCAUACAGCGGUGGCUCGACUCCGGCCACACCACCUGCCCGGCCACCAUGCUCCCGCUCCCCUCCACGGAUCUCGUCCCCAACCUCACACUCCGCAGCCUCAUCGCCCACUGGUCCGCCUCCGCCGCCUCCUGCUCCCCCGCCGCGGCCGGAUCCGUCGCCUUCUUCGCCGCCGGCCCUUCCCCCGCGGGGCUCGUCCGCCAGGUCGCUUCCUCCCUCGGCGGCGGCGCCGACCCUUCCCCCGCGCUCUGCGAGCUCGCGGCCUAUCUCUCCGACGACGACGUCGACGAGUUCGAGAAGAACGCGCUCGUGGGCGCCGGCCGCGCCGCGGAGACCGUCGCGUCCGUGCUCAGACGGAAAGGGGAUCAGAUCGUGAGCGUCGAGGGCGCCGAGGCUGCCGUGAGCGUACUCGCCGCGAUCGUCGCGCUGGACGGCAUCGAGGACGCGAACAAGAGGCGCGUCGCCACGGGCCUCGCCGUGGACGCGGCGGCCUCGGCCGCAUCGCUGGCGCGCGUCCUGCGUGGCGGGAGCGGCCUCGAGGCAAGGAUCGACGCGGCGCGGCUCGCGGGUUUCUUGCUGGACAAUGCCGACGCCGACGCGAAGGCGGCCGUGGCCGAAUCGUCCCAGCUGGUGGCCGAGCUGAUACGGCUCAUCGGGCCCGUCGACGAGAAAGGCAGCCUGGACAAGAAGGCCAUGGGCACCGGCCUCUCGUGCCUGGCCACGAUCUCAGGGCUACGCCGCGCGGCGCGCGCCGAGAUGGUGCGCCUCGGCGCCGUCUCGGCCGCGGUGCGCGCGCUCCACGCCACGGCGGAGCCCGGCGCGUCGGCCAAGGCGCUCCGGAUCCUCGAGUCCGCCGUGGGCUGCGCCGAGGGCCGCGCGGAGCUGUGCAAGGACGCGGAGGAGACCGUCCCUGCCGUGCUCGACAAGAUGAUGAAGUCCGGCCGCGACGGCGCCGAGGCCGCGGUGGCCGUGCUCUGGGCGGUGUGCCACAAGUACAAGGACCGCAGGGCCGCGGACGCCGCCGCGGCGUCCGAGGGCGGGCUGACGAGGCUGCUCCUGCUGCUGCAGAGCGGGUGCUCGCCGCCGGCCAGGCAGAUGGCCGUGGAGCUGCUCAAGAUAUACAAGGUGAACGCCAAAAGCUGCCUCGCCGGCUACGACUCCAAGACCACCCACAUCAUGCCGUUCUGACCCAAGCUAAACGAAUGGCUUGCAAGCUCGGAACAGAACAGGGGAUAAACUUGUUAUUCAUGUUUUCUUUGAUUUGUUUAAACUGUAAGUUGAUAGAGAAAGAGAAGAAUUGAUUCGUGAAGAAGAGAAAAAAUAUGUACAUUGGUAGAGUUUUGACAGAAGAAUAAUAAGUAUGAAAGUAAAUGGAGAUUGACAGCCAGAGAUAUACCAUUCGUGUGCCAAAACAUUUCAGGCGCUCACAGGAGUUCUGGAUUGAUAAUCUUCCAACUUCAUGCAAUCGACACGAGUUCUGGAUUGAUAAGCUUCCAACUUCAUGCAACAAGCGUGCACAUACGUAGUCCGCAGUCAUACUAAUCAUUCCCAUAGUAUGCGUCUGUAACACAAACUUCUCAGAAUUCACAAGUGACAUACUCUGCAGUCCUACUGACUUCAUGGACAGAGGAGCAUUUGCUCAUGGCUUAUCAGGUACACUAACCAGCUAGUUCCAUCAUGCUAAUGAUUCAAGAGUGUCGUUGGUUGGGGGUAGAUUACUGAUUACACAUCCGUAGCUUGAAAGCAACGCGCGUGCUCAUGAGUCAUGACAGAGGAUAAGCCUGAUCGAACAUCUCCACGUUGGCAUCCGAUCGAAGUCCCUGCUCGAUUUGACCCAUCUAGGAUCAUGUCCAGUUCACUCCACUCCACCCACAUGCUAGGAGGAAAGCAAAACGUCCCAAAGAUGCUUGAUCAACGGACUGGUCUCUGAGUAAACAGCUCGCUUGGCGUGUUAAGAAAACAAAGUAAUUCAGCACUGAAAAUCGUGCGUUCCGAUCGACAAACCGCGGCAGAACCCAAAGCAAGUUCUCCUUUUACGGGAGUUUUUCUUUUCCGCUGCAAGCGGGAUCGAAUCGACGAACCGUGGAAAGAUCUUCACGACCCAAAGGAUCCACGACUGCGAGCCUAACUUAAAGUUCGCCCUGCGUGCACGGUCGGUCGCCCACGGCCCCCCACCACAUACAACUGUGCACCAAAUUGCACAGCUAGCCGUCUCCUUGUCUUUAUAAAGCUAGCCGGGCAAACUUUUCCUGAUCUGUAUUUAGGCCCGAGUCAGGGCCGAACAUCGAAGCCAUCACGAGUCAAUGCCGUAUUAAUCGUUUAGGUGAUACGGGCAGUGGCGCUAGCGUUUAGUAGGCGAUACGGGGGGCAGUGGCGGUAGUUGACUGGCGAGGACGGAAGAUCCUUUUGGGGUUCUUAAUUAAUCAGAGACGGAGAUUAAGAAGUCGAGAAAGAAGAGCCGUAAAGGGUGGUGUGGGACAGUGGGAGAGAAGGCUAGUGGUGUUCAUUGUCCACGGUAGCUCCAUUUUAUUGACCGCGCAAGACGAUAUACGUGGAUGCCUACCCAAGUUGGCCGCCACUGCUUACUCGCUACGCAUUUUGACGCAAGACAGAAGUACGAUUCAGACGUGGCUGUUGACGAUGCUUCUUCUGGGAUAAUCAAGCGCCACUACGUCGUCCGGUCGGUGGCGCACUCCGGUGGUGCAGGACGCCGCCCCGAUGGCCGACGCCCGCGCUCUCACGGAUCGCGGCCAGAUCAGGCCCUGAUUCAGGAGGUGGCUCCGUCUCCGACACAGGGAUUGGCACCAUUGUCCCGUGCUCAAGGUAGAUGAACCCAGAACCCCCAACAUGGACCUGGAUCCUGAUCUGGCUGAUUCCAUUCCUUCCUAUUCUAUGCUAGGUAUUAUUAUGUUAAGGCUAAUUGGAGGAAUUGUAUACAUGCCAUACUUGCAAAAACAUUGAUAAACCACAAAUCGUCCAAAUGAUUAGCAUAAUGUUAAACUAGUGAGAUUGAUUUGCAAUCAAUUGAUGUUUUCAUAAUUGAUUGAAAUCUUUCCAAAUUGGUCUUUGCUUCCUAGGUGGACUACACAUAUUGGUCCUACGUGGACAACAAAUUUGAUGUUUCAUGCUAGUCCAACAAAUUUAUCCCUAACUAAGUCUUGACCGUUGAAGUAAGAUUUGAUUGUUAAAAUAAUCUGGAUGACAUGGAUCAACGCUGUGCUUCAAUUUGGUACCCCUCAAUGUCCCAGGUGACGCGCGGAAAACAUCUUUGCUUCCGAACUACUGCCUCCGUCCCAAUAUAUGAUGCAUGCACGCGUCCCAAGAUCAUCAAUUUAACUACCAAAAUAUAAAUUAUAUGACAUAAAAACAUAUCAUUAGAAAGUUUAUUUGAUUACGAAUCUAAUGAUAUUUUUUUUUAUGAAAUACUCCCUCCAUUUCAUAAUUCUUGUUGAAAUAUUAAAUGUAUCUAGACACUUUUUAGAAAUAGAUACAUCCAUUUUUGAACAAAUUUGAGACAAGAAUUAUGAAACGGAGUGAGUAUGAUUUAGAUUUUGCUAGUUAAAUUUGUAAUCUUGGUAUGCGUGCGUGCCUCGUAUAUUGGGACGGAGAAACUAUCAAUUAGGCAUGAAAAAUAUUCUUCUCAAGAACAGAUUAUACAAAAUACUAAAACCGAGAAACUUUUCCUAAAUACUUGCGCUGAUCAAUUAGCUGUGCUAAUCGGCCACGUUGAUCAAUUCCUAAAUACUUGCGCUGAUCGUACGAACACAUGAAGGAAUCGACAUUGAUCCAUAACGGAAAGAAAAAAAAAAUCAGCAAACAAGGGAAAUGGUUGUCCGGAGCUGGUUUAUGUGCCAAACACAUUUAUGAGAUGGAGUGGAGCUGAGAUGAAGGAAAGUUUAGAGGCGGAAUGAAGUUAGAUAUUGGAGCGGAACUUAGAUGGAGUGAAGCCCUCCCAAACGGACACUUAGUGUCUUAGUAUUAGCUUUUGGUUCUCAUAAGCCAAUAACCCAACCAAACACUUCGUUCUUAUGAACUCCAGGAACUGAAUAAUGGGCCUCAGGUUACUCUAAGAAAAACAAAAUGGGCCUGUGUCGAAAAGCAAUAAUGGGCCUCAGGUCAAACACUAGUAUAGUACAGCAAACCAAUAGAUUGAUCGCCACAGCUUCAUCCAUCCCAGAAAUAACUUGUUGGGCGUUAUCGCUCCUCUGGUCGUCUGCCCAACGUUAAUUCCGAAUUCACAUCUCUGACACGUCACACGUUUGCGGCAUCGAAAAAGGAAGAAUUCCGAAUUCAUAAAAGACACAUUGUUGCAACUGUGGUCAAGACUGAAAGUGCGAUGGCAUCUCAAAAAAAAAAUGAGCAAUGGAAAUAUAAAGCGUAACAUGUUCCCCCCGCAAAAAAAAAAGCUUAACAUGUUCAAGAUGAGACUCAAUAACAGUGCACCGUCCGGUUGUUGUUCAUCUCGACGAGUCGGGUCGCACCAAAAGACCCUUCAGCGCUGUUCCAGCACAGCUGCACAGGUACCCCAUCCAAUUCAACCCUGCUGCUCGGGCCUUUUGGUCCCAUCACGAGCUCUAUACUGCAUCGCCAUGCCACUAGACCAGGGCAUUGCUUUGUCCGGGCUCCGGCUUGCGACCUCACGAAAGAGGGGAACUGGCUCGGUUGCUGAUUCGCCAGUGCUUUCGGCUUCGGGCUUCGUCUAGAUUCACUCCAUGUCUCCAUGUGAGCCCAUGCUUCAUCUUUAGCUCGUUUCGGCAGCAGGAAAAGAGAACUCGGCCUCGUCCUCGAUCUCGAGACUAGCACGAAAGCACUGGAAUCAUAAAUUAUUUAUGCUCAAGCGGAGCGGACACACGUAUGCCCUUCGUCCCAUGCGUGGUUCCUGAAAAGCAUUCAGGGAAUCAUGUCGCUCGUACGCCCUCUGCAAAGGAAGAGAUUCUCGCGUGUGGACUUUGAUCCAUGCACCUAGGCACUGCUACCUAGCCAUGAAUGCAUGGUGCGUCAGAGUAACAGAGAGAGCGUAUAUGACAGUAGUGAAGAGUUGUUUUCCUUUUCUUCGAAGAGUCACAUGCGUUAGAAGUGCGUGAGAAUCUCUUCUACCCGAAUGAAGAAUCACUGUCUCGCAACAAAAAAAGAAAAAGAAUGAAGAAUCACACCACUGGCAAGGACGAACAGGGGGCGUGUUCAUACCUGGGGUGGGGAAAACUGUUUGGAAGCAUAUGUGUGCACACAGGCUCUCAGUGGCACACGAUGACUGCUAAUCGAUGUAACAAAUGGAUUUAGCCAAUCUCAGCCAUCGUAACAAAUGGAGUACAUUCCCAGGCCUGUGCAUACGGUAACAUGACGUUGUCAUCUUACCUGGUUCAUUGUGAGAUUAUUUUUACCAAAAGGGAAGUAAAAUGGAAGUGCUUGCUAUAUAGAGUAAUUUUAAACACUUGUACGGAGAAAGUGAUUGCUAGUCUCAUGAUCAUGUGGAGCGAGGGCAUCCUUAUCGAAACCGCCAGCUAUUGACAAAGCACCUCGUUUCGGCACGCCAAUGUGAAACAUUACGAAAGCAAAGCUAAGCUAGAUGAGGGGUGAAUUGCAGAAUGGGUGAAAAUAUGCGCAGGCACGUAAAUAUCAGAGCAAUUAUUGGGUCCUGAGUCCUGACUAUGUUGUCCGUACCCUGUUAACAUUACAUGUAGUUCAGUAUCUUUGUCUAGCUACUACCUAGCUCUCACUACGGUUCAGCAUAUGUUCGUUACAAACAUCCCUACACCGAGGUAUUUAUUGAAAGUACACUAGCUAAAUAACGGUGUUAUGCUUCGAGAUAACUUGGUCAGCAUUUGUUUGUGUGUACAGAAUUAGCUAGCAGCGACCAAUCACAGAUAGGACGACUUCACCGACGGGGACAAUUCUCUUAGACGUCAGAUUAGUGCGUCGUCCAAUAUGAUUUUUAAACUACUCCAUUAUUAGUACUAGCAUUUCUCUUCAUGUGCCGACCAAUUUAAACGCCGAUUCCACCUUCGAGUGUUUUCGGUGUCAGCAUCAUUAAAGACGAGAAUUGUUAGCGUCUCGAUUUCUGGGGGGCAGAGCAAUCUCUCCCUGUUUUCCUGCAAGCAUGGCGGAGGGAAGAAGACAAUUGUCUCCAGCCUUUCAGAAAGAGGCGAUCAGACUGAGGUGAGAGCUUUCGCCACACACUUGUGGGCAGCACCGUCCGUUCGUGACAGUAGUAUUCCAUGUGUCUUGCUCCGAUGAAUUUACAGCAGAUUCAUUGCAAAAUCUGGAGAUAUAUAGCAGUAAUGCCACUUGCAUAGUCAAAUGGGUGAGAUUUUGAUUUAGACACAAGUAAAUUGGUCGUUACAAUUAUUGCAUCUAUCUAGUAUACCAAAGGCAAAAACAAAAUGAUGUCCGAAGUGAACCAUCAUCCAUGUCAUCUGAAUUAUUUUGGCAUUUGGAUCAUAUAUUUACGGUGAAUAUUCAAUAAGAAAAUGAUAUUUGACGGUACAACAAUGAAACAUUGAAGUGGUUUAAGGCUCAUGUGGGUCCGAUAUGUAUUUUUGUUGUUUUAUCCACGAGUCAGAAGAAUAUUCUCUAUACUAUAAUUUUACGGAGUAAGUAGUAAUCGCACCUCCAUUUACGGAGUAAGUAGUACUCGCACCUCCAUUCGCCGUAAUCUAUAAUAUAAUUUUAAAAAUUGCAAUAAACUGGUACUUGCAAAGUUAUAACUCUACAAACGUAUAAGCUACAUUUUUAAUAAUUGUUACUGAAUAACAUAACCUAUGAGUUAUUGACUGCCUAGCGAACCAUACAUUCACUAAUCAAAAUUGCUUCAAAGUAAAAAAAAACUCGCGAUCUAAAUUUAACCCGGAUAUUGAUAUAAUAAUUUCAUAAAACAUUAAUAUCACAUUAUGGUUUAUUAUCACAAAUAAUCUACAAACUAAUAUAAGUUGGCAAAUAACCGAUUGACCAAUUCGGUAUGUGAACUUUAAUUUUUCAUUGUCCCAUGGUUCAAAUCACAUAAGAACCUACAAAUUUUCAUUGACAAAAAGUCUAUCAAUAAGAUUUAGGAAACACAUUUUCCGUGACACUAAAGUGUUGUGUUUGUCUAUCAAUUUUUUUAUUUGGACUGUGUGUAUCAAUGACUUCCUUCGUAUCUUUUUUUUUUCGAGAAAAAACACUAUGAAAAAAAAAGCAUGGCCUAGUAGUUGAUCGCCAGUGCAAGGAUCUAGAGUGUAUCCUUUCAUGAUCUUCUUUAAUUUGUUGCCUUAGAUUUGAAUUUUUCAUAAGAAAUUGAAAUUUAUCAACAACUCUAACUUGUUACUCCGUAUUUCAACCCACGUGAAGCAAUGAUACACUUUUUAGCCUUUUCACAGCUGUUAAAAAAAAGUACUGUUACUACAUAAAGCCAUGAUUAUAAUAAGGAACAGUAUUAGGGCAGGGCGCCUAUGCCCUCACCUAUCAGGCAAUCGUCAUUUCUCUCUGCUAGUCCUGCAUUAUCGUGUGAUCCCGGUCAGGCUUUCACAUGGCCGUACUGUGAAACGCUUGCAUCGAGACGUUAUACUGGAGGACAUGCCUGCAUUGAGCAAUGUAAAUACCACCUGCUCCUCUGGGCCCCCCUACCUUGGCAACAACUAGCUUUUUUUUUUUCGAACACUGGCCACUAGCUAGGCUAGGCUCUCUCGUCUCGAAGGUCUCAGACUACUCCUACACGGUACACCCCCGGCUCCGGCCGGAGUGACCAACGGGGAAGCCUCCCUCUCUCCCCCACAUGCUUAUCCUCUCGCCACAGUACGCCCCAUCACAUGCGCCCGCAAGCAUCCAAGAGUGCCCCGUGUAUAUAAAGAGUGGCAUGGGUUACCAUUUUUCUCACAACCACACUGAUCCAAGCUUGCCAAAGAGUAGGCACUGCAGUGAGGGAGUGAGUGAGAAUGGGUGGCAAAGCCGUUCUCCUGGUGGCCCUCUUGGCCGUGAGCCUGGUGGUCCAGAUCCAGGCGGACAGCGGCUACACCCCGACGCCGGUGACCCCGUCUCCCAAGCCCGAGAAGCCACCCAAGGGCCACAAGCCGCCCCACCACCACCACCACGCCAAGCCUCCGGCUGGCUCCCACAAGCCGGCGCCUCCCACGGCCACUCCUCCCACGCCGGCGUACAAGCCACCCACGGCCACGCCUCCGGCUCCGACGCCACCGAAGUACACUCCGUCCCCGAAGCCACCGACGCCUAAGCCCACACCACCCACGUAUACCCCGACCCCGAAGCCGCCCACUCCCACACCAAAGCCCACGCCGCCAACGUACAAGCCGGCACCCAAGCCCACUCCUCCCACGUAUAAGCCCACACCCAAGCCCUCGCCGCCGACGUACCCGCCGAAGCCAACACCACCCACCUACAAGCCGGCGCCGAAGCCGACUCCCCCGACCUACAAGCCGGCGCCGAAGCCGACACCGCCCACCUACAAGCCCGCGCCGAAGCCGACGCCCCCGACCUACAAGCCGGACCCCAAGCCGACUCCCCCGACGUACAAGCCCGCGCCGAAGCCGGCCCCCAAGCCUACGCCCCCGAACUACAAGCCGGCGCCGAAGCCGACGCCGCCGUCGUACAAGCCGGCCCCGAAGCCCACUCCCCCGGCACCGAAGCCCACGCCGCCGACACCACCAGCCUACAAGCCGGCGCCGAAGCCGAGCCCUCCGACGCCCGCCCCGCCGGCGUACAAGCCUCCGACUCCGACUCCUCCGGCGUACAAGACCCCCACUCCGAGCCCGCCGCCGCCGCCCUACCACCACUAAGAUCCAUCACUCUCUUUAGUUGGGAGCACAGGUGAGCAAUGCGGCAAUCUCAGUCUAUGCAUGCAUGAUGCAUGCAUGAAACGCAGACUGUAUCUACAUUUCCCUUUCAAAGUGCAAAGGACGAAACUUAAGACGUGAUUACUUGUGUUUUGCAGAAU